CCUACGGGGGGCAGCAGUGAGGAAUAUUGGUCAAUGGACGCAAGUCUGAACCAGCCAUGCCGCGUGCAGGAAGACGGCUCUAUGAGUUGUAAACUGCGUUUGUACGAGGGUAAACGCAGAUACGCGUAUCUGUCUGAAAGUAUCGUACGAAUAAGGAUCGGCUAACUCCGUGCCAGCAGCCGCGGUAAUACGGAGGAUUCAAGCGUUAUCCUGAUUUAUUGGGUUUAAAGGGUGCGUAGGCGGACGGAAAAGUUAGGGGGGAAAUCCCGAGGCUCAAAUUCGGACUUGUCUCUGAUACUGUGCGGCUAGAGAGUAGUUGCGGUAGGCGGAAUGUAUGGUGUAGCGGUGAAAUGCUUAGAGAUCAUACAGAACACCAAUUGCGAAGGCGACUUACCGAGCUACUUCUGACGUUGAGGCACGAAAGCGUGGGGAGCAAACAGGAUUAGAUACCCCAGUAGUC
rnacentral:rRNA from 1 species